GUCAACACCCCUGCCUAAAGGCUAGGGGCUUCCAGCCUCAAACCUCUAGGAUUAGUUGACCCGACGCGCGUACCUUGAGUACUACGUUAUUGGUAAGUGUUUAAGUUCCUACCUAUGGAUGCGUGAUGCCAGUCUGUAGCUCUAGA
rnacentral:sRNA from 19 species